CAGGCCUAACACAUGCAAGUCGAGCGGAAACGAGUUAUCUGAACCUUCGGGGGACGAUAACGGCGUCGAGCGGCGGACGGGUGAGUAAUGCCUAGGAAAUUGCCCUGAUGUGGGGGAUAACCAUUGGAAACGAUGGCUAAUACCGCAUGAUGCCUACGGGCCAAAGAGGGGGACCUUCGGGCCUCUCGCGUCAGGAUAUGCCUAGGUGGGAUUAGCUAGUUGGUGAGGUAAGGGCUCACCAAGGCGACGAUCCCUAGCUGGUCUGAGAGGAUGAUCAGCCACACUGGAACUGAGACACGGUCCAGACUCCUACGGGAGGCAGCAGUGGGGAAUAUUGCACAAUGGGCGCAAGCCUGAUGCAGCCAUGCCGCGUGUGUGAAGAAGGCCUUCGGGUUGUAAAGCACUUUCAGUCGUGAGGAAGGUGGUAGUGUUAAUAGCACUAUCAUUUGACGUUAGCGACAGAAGAAGCACCGGCUAACUCCGUGCCAGCAGCCGCGGUAAUACGGAGGGUGCGAGCGUUAAUCGGAAUUACUGGGCGUAAAGCGCAUGCAGGUGGUUUGUUAAGUCAGAUGUGAAAGCCCGGGGCUCAACCUCGGAAUAGCAUUUGAAACUGGCAGACUAGAGUACUGUAGAGGGGGGUAGAAUUUCAGGUGUAGCGGUGAAAUGCGUAGAGAUCUGAAGGAAUACCGGUGGC
rnacentral:rRNA from 1 species